rnacentral:rRNA from 1 species
UUCUGCCUACGGGGCGCAGCAGUGGGGGAUAUUGCACAAUGGGGGGAACCCUGAUGCAGCGACGCCGCGUGGGUGAAGAAGCGCCUCGGCGCGUAAAGCCCUGUCAGCAGGGAAGAAAAUGACGGUACCUGAAGAAGAAGCCCCGGCUAACUACGUGCCAGCAGCCGCGGUAAUACGUAGGGGGCAAGCGUUAUCCGGAUUUACUGGGUGUAAAGGGAGCGUAGACGGCGAAGAAAGUCUGAAGUGAAAGCCCGCGGCUCAACCGCGGCAUGGCUUUGGAAACUUUUUUGCUGGAGUACCGGAGG